rnacentral:snRNA from 1 species
AUGCUCGUUCCGGCAGCAUUCAUACUAAAAUUGGAACGAUAUGGAGAAGGUUAGCUUGGAUCCUGUGCAAGGAUGACA